rnacentral:lncRNA from 1 species
UCUAAACCUGCAACUUCACAUCAACUUUUACCAUUUUCAAGAGCUUCCAAGCCAGGAAUGUUAGAGCUGGAAGGAACAUGAUAAAAAGAAGGAAAGUGAAAGUGAACAGUUUACACAGCCAGCAGCACAGUAACCGGCAAGGGGCAAACAAACCCAUAGAUGCUUCCUGAAUGAAACAAAUGAGAUACAGGGAAAAGAUUAAAACCAAGAACCUCUGACUUCCAGACCACUUGACUCUGCUGCCUGACCCUCUUCUUAAAUCCAUGCUGCCUGAGUAAACGUCCAGGCUCCACAUAUUUAGACCACAUCGGGAAACUAGACUUCAUACUGAGACUUACGCAAGCUGCUGUGAUACGAGCUGCUGUAAAAACGGAGGCCUCCAGACCAACAGCCAGGGAGUAGAGGAGAGACUCACAUUAGUGGCCACUGGACCAGUGGGAGGAAGAGCUUAUGGGAAGAGACUUCUUUGGCUCAUCUCAUGUUACAUCUUGGAGUGACCUCAAAGGCCCCAUCCCAGAAGGCACAGCCACAAAAAACGUGGCCUCCACCAGCAUGGAUCCCUGAAUGUAAUGGGAUCAGAGCCUCCUGCCCACACCUGCCCUGGCUUAUCUAAUCCUUAGAAGAUGAAGUUCAAGCUCAAGUUCUUGUUCCUCUCCAGCCUCACUGCAUG